GCCAGCAGCCAUAUCAUCCUGUAACUCACAAUGGGCAGCCCCCUGAAGCCCAGCAAGUGUGAGCCUGGUCAGUACCUGGAUGGGAGGCCUCCUGGGAAAAACUAAGGUUGCUGCUGGAA
rnacentral:rRNA from 1 species